AUACGUAGGGGGCAAGCGUUAUCCGGAUUUACUGGGUGUAAAGGGAGCGUAGGUGGUGUGGUAAGUCAGAUGUGAAAGCCCGAGGCUCAACCACGGGACUGCAUUUGAAACUAUCAUGCUAGAGUACAGGAGAGGUAAGUGGAAUUCCUAGUGUAGCGGUGAAAUGCGUAGAUAUUAGGAGGAACACCAGUGGCGAAGGCGGCUUACUGGACUGUAACUGACACUGAUGCUCGAAAGCGUGGGGAGCAAACAGGAUUAGAUACCCUGGUAGUCCACGCUGUAAACGAUGAAUACUAGGUGUCGGGGGUCAAAAGACCUUCGGUGCCGCAGCAAACGCAAUAAGUAUUCCACCUGGGGAGUACGUUCGCAAGAAUGAA
rnacentral:rRNA from 1 species